GUCCACGCCGUAAACGAUGGAUACUAGCUGUUGGGAGCAAUCUCAGUGGCUAAGCGAAAGUGAUAAGUAUCCCACCUGGGGAGUACGUUCGCAAGAAUGAAACUCAAAGGAAUUGACGGGGGCCCCGCACAAGCGGUGGAGCAUGUGGUUUAAUUCGAUGAUACGCGAGGAACCUUACCAAGGCUUAAAUGUAGAUUGACAGAUUUGGAAACAGAUUUUUCUUCGGACAAUUUACAAGGUGCUGCAUGGUUGUCGU
rnacentral:rRNA from 1 species